CGCUGCCGGCGGCGGGCAGGACCGGCAGCGGCACCGGCGGCGGCGCGGGCUCAUCAUGAUCCUGUGUCCCCAGAGCGUGGAGCACCCCCGAGGAAGCCGGUGCCAGCGGCUGCCGGGGCAGGUAGUGAAAAUGUCCGGUGGUGACCCCGAGCGUCCCCAAUUCCUCUUCGUGAAGGUGCUGGCAAGCCGGGGGCGGCUGGAGGCGGUGACCCAGCAGAUGGGCUACCACCCACAGUACCUGGACAGCUUCCUCAAGACACAGCACUACCUGAUGCACAUGGACGGGCCGCUGCCCUUUGACUCCCGGCACUACAUCGCCAUCAUGGCGGCGGCUCGGCACCAGUGCCGGUACCUGGUGAACCUGCACGUGCUGCAGUUCCUGCGGGCAGGGGGGGAUCCCCAGUGGCUGCGUGGCCUCGACUUCAUUCCCCCCAAACUCCGCAACCUCAACGAGAUCAACAAGAUCCUGGCGCACCGGCCGUGGCUCAUCACCAAGGAACACAUUGAGAAGCUGCUCAAAAUCAGCGAGUGGAGCUGGUCGCUGGCAGAGCUGGUGCACGCCGUCGUCCUCCUGGCACACUGCCACGCGCUCGCCAGCUUUGUGUUUGGCUGUGGCUGUGAGCAGGAUGAGGGCCUGGGCGGCCGAGGCUCGCUGAAGCCCUUGUCACCCGGGAACCAGUGCUUCUGCGAAGCCACCGCUGGCAACGGCUGCAGCCAGGAGCUGCUGCGCAUCAACCGCAAGCGGUCCCUGGACUCCUGCAUGGAGCUGGAUUCCCUCCGGGAACGCAUGCAGCGGAUCCACGUGGAGACUGAGGGCAGGGAGGAGACAAAGCUGCUGCAGCAGGACCGGGAGGAAGAUAUCGAUGGGGAAGUCACCGGUGCCACCAACCUUGCAUGCUAUAUGCAGGACCCUGACUUUGGAUACCAGGACUUUGCCAGGCGUGACGAGGAUCAGACGCAGGUAUUCAGAGUCCAGGAUUACUCCUGGGAAGACCAUGGCUUCUCACUGGUCAACCGGCUCUACUCUGACAUUGGGCAUCUCCUGGAUGAGAAGUUCCGGAUGGUGGAUGGGCUGCAAAGCAGUGCCAUGGCCAAGCGACAGGGCUGCGAACCCUCCGUCUUCAAGCGGGGCAUCUGGAAUUACAUCCACUGCAUGUUUGGCAUUAGGUAGGGAAACCAGCCUCCCUGGCCCAGGGGAGAACACCAGCCUGAGCCCGGUGGGAGGAGGGUGAGGCACACCGGCUGCCUCGCAGAGGGGCUUGGAAAAGAGAUGGAGGUGGGUUUUGAAUACCUCCAAGAGAGGAGCCUCCACACCCUCCCUGGGCAGCUUGGUCAGGGCUCCCUCCCCUUAACAGUGAAAUAGUUCUUCCUUAUGUUUAAACGGAACUUUUUGUGUUCCAGCUGCUUUCCAUCACCCUUUGUCUUGUCACUGGAUACAAUAGAAAAAAGUGCUGCCCCAACCUCCUGACAUCCACCAUUUAGAUACUUAAAAAUAUUAAUGAGAUCUCGCCUCAGUCUCCUCAAGACUGAACAGCCCCAGGUCCCACAGCCUUUCCUCAUAAGGAAGAUGCUCCAGGCCCCUGAUCACCUUGGUAGCCCUGCACUGGCCUCUCUCCAGCAGUUCCCUGUCUCUCUUGAGCUGGGGAGCCCAGAACCGGACACAGGAAUCUAGAUGAGGCCUCACCAUGGCAGAGCAGAGGGGGAGAAGAACCUUCCUUGACCUGCUGGCCACACUCUUCUGGAUGCCCCCCACAAUGCCAUUGGCUUCUUGGCCAUGAGGGCACAUUGCUGGCUCAUGGUUAGUUUAUUAUCAGCCAAGACUCCCAGGUCUCUCUCCACAGAGCAGGUCAAUCCCCCAGCCAAGGCAGGGCACUUUGGGGAUGGGGCUUGAGUGCCUGGUGGCCACAGCCAUAUGUCCCCCUGCCCUGCAGCUGUGCCAUGCCCUAGGCAGACCACGGGUGAGGUGCUUUGUAGGGACGUGGUGCUGGCUGUGACUUGCUCCUGUGCUCCCCACAGGUACGAUGACUACGACUAUGCAGAAGUGAAUCAGCUCCUGGAGCGAAUGCUCAAAGUUUACAUUAAAACUGUAACCUGUUACCCAGAGA